UUGUCUCUCUUGAGUGGAUCCUGAGUACGACGGAGCACGUGAAAUUCCGUCGGAAUCUGGGAGGACCAUCUCCUAAGGCUAAAUACUCUCUAGUGACCGAUAGUGAACCAGUACCGUGAGGGAAAGGUGAAAAGCACCCCGGAAGGGGAGUGAAAUAGAACCUGAAACCGUGUGCUUACAAGUAGUCAGAGCCCGUUAAUGGGUGAUGGCGUGCCUUUUGUAGAAUGAACCGGCGAGUUACGAUUUGAUGCAAGGUUAAGCAGUAAAUGUGGAGCCGUAGCGAAAGCGAGUCUGAAUAGGGCGUUUAGUAUUUGGUCGUAGACCCGAAACCAGGUGAUCUACCCUUGGUCAGGUUGAAGUUCAGGUAACACUGAAUGGAGGACCGAACCGACUUACGUUGAAAAGUGAGCGGAUGAACUGAGGGUAGCGGAGAAAUUCCAAUCGAACCUGGAGAUAGCUGGUUCUCUCCGAAAUAGCUUUAGGGCUAGCCUCAAGUGAUGAUUAUUGGAGGUAGAGCACUGUUUGGACGAGGGGCCCCUCUCGGGUUACCGAAUUCAGACAAACUCCGAAUGCCAAUUAAUUUAACUUGGGAGUCAGAACAUGGGUGAUAAGGUCCGUGUUCGAAAGGGAAACAGCCCAGACCACCAGCUAAGGUCCCAAAAUAUAUGUUAAGUGGAAAAGGAUGUGGCGUUGCCCAGACAACUAGGAUGUUGGCUUAGAAGCAGCCAUCAUUUAAAGAGUGCGUAAUAGCUCACUAGUCGAGUGACACUGCGCCGAAAAUGUACCGGGGCUAAACAUAUUACCGAAGCUGUGGAUUGUCCUUUGGACAAUGGUAGGAGAGCGUUCUAAGGGCGUUGAAGCAUGAUCGUAAGGACAUGUGGAGCGCUUAGAAGUGAGAAUGCCGGUGUGAGUAGCGA
rnacentral:rRNA from 1 species